CCUACGGGCGGCAGCAGUGAGGAAUAUUGGUCAAUGGACGAGAGUCUGAACCAGCCAAGUAGCGUGAAGGAUGACUGCCCUAUGGGUUGUAAACUUCUUUUAUCAAGGAAUAAAACGAGGCACGUGUGCCUUUUUGCAUGUACUUUAUGAAUAAGGAUCGGCUAACUCCGUGCCAGCAGCCGCGGUAAUACGGAGGAUGCGAGCGUUAUCCGGAUUUAUUUGGUUUAAAGGGUGCGUAGAUGGGUUGUUAAGUCAGUUGUGAAAGUUUGCGGUUCAACCGUAAAAUUGCAAUUGAUACUGGCAGUCUUGAGUACAGUUGAGGUAGGCGGAAUUCGUGGUGUAGCGGUGAAAUGCUUAGAUAUCACGAAGAACCCCGAUUGCGAAGGCAGCUUACUAAACUGUGACUGACAUUGAUGCUCGAAAGUGUGGGUAUCAAACAGGAUUAGAUACCCGUGUAGUC
rnacentral:rRNA from 1 species